rnacentral:rRNA from 1 species
GUGAGGAAUAUUGGACAAUGGGCGCAAGCCUGAUCCAGCCAUGCCGCGUGCAGGAAGACGCAUCUAUGGUGUGUAAACUGCUUUUGUACGGGAAGAAACACUCCCUCGUGAGGGAGCUUGACGGUACCGUAAGAAUAAGGAUCGGCUAACUCCGUGCCAGCAGCCGCGGUAAUACGGAGGAUCCAAGCGUUAUCCGGAAUCAUUGGGUUUAAAGGGUCCGUAGGCGGUUUAAUAAGUCAGUGGUGAAAGCCCAUCGCUCAACGAUGGAACGGCCAUUGAUACUGUUAGACUUGAAUUACAAGGAAGUAACUAGAAUAUGUAGUGUAGCGGUGAAAUGCUUAGAUAUUACAUGGAAUACCAAUUGCGAAGGCAGGUUACUACUUGUGGAUUGACGCUGAUGGACGAAAGCGUGGGGAGCGAACAGGAUUAGAAACCCCAGUAGUCC